rnacentral:rRNA from 1 species
GACAGAGGGUGCAAACGUUGUUCGGAAUUACUGGGCGUAAAGCGCGUGUAGGCUGCCCCAGCAAGUCGGAUGUGAAAAGCCCCUGGGCUUAACCUAGGAAGUGCAUUCGAAACUGCUGGGCUUGAGUUCUGGAGAGGAAGGCGGAAUUCUCGGUGUAGAGGUGAAAUUCGUAGAUAUCGAGAGGAACACCGGUGGCGAAGGCGGCCACCUGGACGGUAACUGACGCUGAGACGCGAAAAGCGUGGGGAGCAAACAGG